AUGUAAUUGGGAAAAUAAAAUAUCUUUGAAUAAAACACCACCACCAACAAAACCCCAAUAAAUUAAACCUUUGUUGCUUUCCUAGGUAUAUAUGUUCACAAUGAAAAUUGGUUUGAUAGCAAGUUGGUAUUGGCCUCAGGUAUACCCCUGCAGAUGAAGGUAAGUGAUUUGCUGAAGGUUUCAGUGAGCCUCCUCCAUUCCAGUCUUGUUUCAUCCACUUCUGUGAUCUUGGGUAAAUUAUCUCACCAAUAGGAUUAGGGGGCUGGAUUAUCUGAUGCCUAAAAUCUCUUUCAUAUCCAAAAGUAUGUGGUUCUGUAAUUCCAAAGAGCUCUGGCCUUCUGUGUUCUGUGUUCUCUGAUUCUAGGGCCCCUUCUAGCUCUGACAUUCUAUGGUUCUGUAAUUCGGUAGUGUGGAAGUUGAAAACCUCUACAAGCACUGCUUCAGGCAUCCCUCUCAGCUUUAGCUUCCUGGGCAGGGGGCUCUGCUCCCCUUUGGGGCCUUGCCUUUCUCAAAUGGAGAGACUCAGCCUCCUCAUCACUUCCCUGCCCCUCUCUCAACUUGGAAGCAACUAAAGCAAUUGCCUUUUCUUCUUCCUAAUGAGUUUGGUUGGGCUAAUCGAGGCUGCCAUGUGACAGCAAUCUGGGGCAACCCCUGGGACCUGAGGUGAACCACCUCUCUUCUGCUUGGCAUUCUCCCCCAGCCCCCUACUUUGGAAAGUGAAGAAGAGUCUGAGGGACAAGUGCAUUCAUCCUGUUCUGUUGCAAAUCGGGGUGGAUACUUUUUUUAUUACCUUCUGUGACAAGACUCUUGAACUUUGGAGUAGCUUUUCCCUGAUAAGGAUCUUGGAGACAGUUCUAUUACAUGUGAAAUUUGGAAAUUCUCUUCUGAGGAAGAAAGAAGAAGCCUUCUUAGUGAUUAAUGAUUCCUUUGGAGACUUGACUAUAACUCAUAUCCUCCUGAAGAUUUUUUCUCUCCAGUUUGAUGAUCCAGUUGGACAGUUUCUAGUUGUUUGUCAUUCCUCAGAUCAGAAUGGUACAUCUUCUGGACUGGUGAGGACAGCAAAUGAUGGUGGCACAGAUCAAUGGCAAGAGUCUGAUUAGAAUGAGAAGAAAUCAUUGGUUCAACCCAGAGACAUUACAGGGGUCUAGGGGCGGGGUACAGUAAUCUCUCCAGGUCUUGUAUUCUGGGGCUGGUAUCUGUGAAUAUGUCCGAUGGCUGUACAUUAGAUAUAUCAAAUUAGAUAUCCUGUAUACAUAUUAAACUCAAUCUAUCCAAAACUAAACUCAUUAUCUUUUCCCCAAAACUCUCCCCUCUUUCAGACUUUUCUAUUAUUUUUUAGGACAUCACCAUGGCACCUAGACAGUCCCCCAGGCACACAAACUAGAUAUUAUAUUUGAUUCCUCAUUAUCUCUCAACCCCCCCUCCAAGCCCAUAUCAAUCUAUUGCCAAC
rnacentral:lncRNA from 1 species